rnacentral:rRNA from 1 species
CAGCCGCGGUAAAACCAGCACCUCAAGUGGUCAGGAUGAUUAUUGGGCCUAAAGCAUCCGUAGCCGGCUCUGUAAGUUUUCGGUUAAAUCUAUGCGCUCAACGUAUGGGCUGCCGAAAAUACUGCAGAGAUAGGGAGUGGGAGAGGUAGACGGUACUCGGUAGGAAGGGGUAAAAUCCUUUGAUCUAUCGAUGACCACCUGUGGCGAAGGCGGUCUACCAGAACACGUUCGACGGUGAGGGAUGAAAGCUGGGGGAGCAAACCGGAUUAGAUACCCGGGUAGUCCCAGCUGUAAACGAUGCAGACUCGAUGAUGCAUUGGCAUAUAGCCAGUGCAGUGUCGCAGGGAAGCCGUUAAGUCUGCCGCCUGGGAAGUACGUACGCAAGUAUGAAACUUAAAGGAAUUGGCGGGGGAGCACGGUCAAC